rnacentral:lncRNA from 1 species
GGCGGCGCUGUACGGGAGCACGGGGGUGCUUGGGUAUGUCGUGGCGGCAGCGCCGGCGGAGGCCGCGCGCGCGUCGGAGACGGAUGGGGCCACGCCGCUGCACAUGGCGGCUGCCGGUGGCGCGGCGAACGCGGUCGCGGCCACGCGCCUGUUGCUCGCCGCGGGGGCGUCGGUCGACGCGCUCUCGGCUUCGGGGCUCCGCGCCGGUGACCUCCUCCCGCGCGCCACCGCGGCGGAGAAGGCCAUCCGGCUGCUGCUCAAGUCGCCGGCCGUGUCGCCGUCGUCGUCGCCGAAGAAGUCGGCCUCGCCGCCGUCGCCGCCGCCGCCGCAGGAGGCGAAGAAGGAGUACCCGCCUGACCUGACGCUGCCCGACCUCAAGAGCGGACUGUUCAGCACCGACGAGUUCCGCAUGUACAGCUUCAAGGUGAAGCCGUGCUCCCGCGCCUACUCCCAUGACUGGACCGAGUGCCCCUUCGUCCACCCCGGCGAGAACGCGCGCCGCCGCGACCCUCGCCGCUACUCCUACAGCUGCGUGCCUUGCCCGGAGUUCCGCAAGGGCGGCUCGUGCCGCAAGGGCGACGCGUGCGAGUACGCCCAUGGCGUGUUCGAGUGCUGGCUCCACCCGGCGCAGUACAGGACGCGCCUCUGCAAGGACGAGGUCGGCUGCGCGCGCCGCAUCUGCUUCUUCGCCCACAAGCCCGACGAGCUCCGCGCCGUCAACCCCUCCGCCGUGUCCGUCGGCAUGCAGCCCACCGUAUCGUCGCCGCGCUCCUCGCCGCCCAACGGGCUCGACAUGGCGGCGGCGGCGGCGGCGAUGAUGAGCCCCGCCUGGCCGUCGUCCCCAGCGAGCCGCCUCAAGACGGCGCUCGGCGCGCGGGAGCUCGACUUCGACCUCGAGAUGCUCGCGCUGGACCAGUACCAGCAGAAGCUGUUCGACAAGGUGUCCGGCGCGCCGUCGCCGAGGGCGAGCUGGGGCGCCGCGGCGAACGGCCUCGCCACCGCGUCGCCGGCGAGGGCCGUGCCGGACUACACCGACCUGCUCGGCUCCGUCGACCCGGCCAUGCUGUCCCAGCUCCACGCGCUGUCCCUCAAGCAGGCCGGCGACAUGCCCGCGUACAGCUCCAUGGCGGACACCACGCAGAUGCACAUGCCGACCUCGCCGAUGGUGGGCGGCGCGAACACCGCGUUCGGGCUGGACCACUCCAUGGCGAAGGCGAUCAUGAGCUCCCGCGCCUCGGCGUUCGCCAAGCGCAGCCAGAGCUUCAUCGACCGCGGAGGCCGCGCCCCGGCGGCGCGUUCGCUCAUGUCGCC